rnacentral:rRNA from 1 species
GGGGAAUAUUGGACAAUGGGGGGAACCCUGAUCCAGCAAUGCCGCGUGUGUGAAGAAGGCCUGCGGGUUGUAAAGCACUUUCAGUGGGGAGGAGGGGUAUUUGGUUAAGAGCUGGAUAUUUGGACGUUACCCACAGAAGAAGCACCGGCUAACUCCGUGCCAGCAGCCGCGGUAAUACGGAGGGUGCGAGCGUUAAUCGGAAUUACUGGGCGUAAAGGGUGCGUAGGUGGUUUGAUAAGUUAUCUGUAAAAUCCCCGGGCUUAACCUGGGCAGGUCAGAUAAGACUGUUGGACUUGAGUACAGGAGAGGGCAGUGGAAUUUCCGGUGUAGCGGUGAAAUGCGUAGAGAUCGGAAGGAACACCAGUGGCGAAGGCGGCUGCCUGGCCUGAUACUGACACUGAGGCACGAAAGCGUGGGGAGCAAAC